UACGAAGGGUGCAAGCGUUACUCGGAAUUACUGGGCGUAAAGGGUGCGUAGGCGGUCGUUUAAGUCCGUUGUGAAAUCCCUGGGCUCAACCUGGGAAUGGCAGUGGAUACUGGACGGCUAGAAUGCGGUAGAGGGUAGUGGAAUUCCCGGUGUAGUGGUGAAAUGCGUAGAGAUCGGGAGGAACACCUGUGGCGAAGGCGGCCCCCUGGGCCGCGCCUGACGCUGAGACGCGAAGGCUAGGGGAGCGAACGGG
rnacentral:rRNA from 1 species